rnacentral:lncRNA from 1 species
GGGCCGUAACUACAUUGAGGCAAAUGAGGCAAAUGCCUCAUGUAAAAAAUUUCAAAAAAAAAAUGAAACAAAAGGUUGUUUUCAUAUCAAAUUGUUUUCAUGGAAAGUGUCUUGCAAGAAGCAAGUUCUCUUCACUCUCUGGUGUAUCCCCUGGAUGUUUUUCGUUAUCCAUGUUUCUAUUUUCCUUUUAGUUUUCAGAGUUGAUGGUCUAUUGUUUUUACUUCUGUGUUCCGGGUUUGUCUUUUGUUCAUUUA